AUUGAACGCUGGCGGCAGGCUUAACACAUGCAAGUCGAACGAGUGGCGGACGGGUGAGUAAUGCUUGGGAAUCUAGCUUAUGGAGGGGGAUAACUACGGGAAACUGUAGCUAAUACCGCGUACCAUAGGAUGAGCCCAAGUGGGAUUAGGUAGUGGGUGAGGAAAAGGCUCCCAAAGCCGACGAUCGAUAGCUGGUCUGAGAGGAUGACCAGCAAGACGGGGACUGAGACACGGCCCAGACUCCGACGGGAGGCAGCAGUGGGGAAUAUUGCGCAAUGGGGGCAACCUGACGCAGCCAUGCGGCGUGAAUGAAGAAGGCCGUCGGGUUGUAAAGUUCUUUCGGUAGCGAGGCGUUAACUACAGAAGAAGCACCGGCUAACUCCGUGCCAGCAGCCGCGGUAAUAC
rnacentral:rRNA from 1 species